rnacentral:rRNA from 1 species
GCAUAUCAAUAAGCGGAGGAAAAGAAACCAACCGGGAUUGCCCUUAGUAACGGCGAAGUGAAGCGGCAAGAAGCUCAAAUUUGAAAGCUGGCUCCUUCGGGGUCCGCAUUGUAAUUUGCAGAGGAUGCUUCGGGAGCGGUCCCCAUCUAAGUGCCCUGGAACGGGCCGUCAUAGAGGGUGAGAAUCCCGUAUGGGAUGGGGUGCCCGCGCCCGUGUGAAGCUCCUUCGACGAGUCGAGUUGUUUGGGAAUGCAGCUCUAAUUGGGUGGUAAAUUUCAUCUAAAGCUAAAUAUUGGCCGGAGACCGAUAGCGCACAAGUAGAGUGAUCGAAAGAUGAAAAGCACUUUGAAAAGAGAGUUAAACAGCACGUGAAAUUGUUGAAAGGGAAGCGCUUGCGAUCAGACUCGCUCGCGGGGUUCAGCCGGCCUUCGGGCCGGUGUACUUCCCCGCGGGCGGGCCAGCGUCGGUUUGGGCGGCCGGUCAAAGGCCCCUGGAAUGUAACGCCUCUCGGGGCGUCUUAUAGCCAGGGGUGCCAUGCGGCCUGCCCGGACCGAGGAACGCGCUUCGGCUCGGACGCUGGCAUAAUGGUCGUAAGCGACCCGUCUUGAAACACGGACCAAGGAGUCUAACAUCUACGCGAGUGUUCGGGUGUCAAACCCGUGCGCGCAGUGAAAGCGAACGGAGGUGGGAACCCCUCGGGGUGCACCAUCGACCGAUCCUGAUGUCUUCGGAUGGAUUUGAGUAAGAGCGUAGCUGUUGGGACCCGAAAGAUGGUGAACUAUGCCUGAAUAGGGCGAAGCCAGAGGAAACUCUGGUGGAGGCUCGCAGCGGUUACUGACGUGCAAAUCGAUCGUCAAAUUUGGGUAUAGGGGCGAAAGACUAAUCGAACCAUCUAGUAGCUGGUCUGCG